UACGGGGGGGGCAAGCGUUGUUCGGAAUUACUGGGCGUAAAGGGCUCGUAGGCGGCCAACUAAGUCGGACGUGAAAUCCCCAGGCUCAACCUGGGAACUGCGUCUGAUACUGGAUGGCUUGAAUCCGGGAGAGGGAUGCAGAAUUCCAGGUGUAGCGGUGAAAUGCGUAGAUAUGCGGAGGAACACCGAUGGCGAAGGCAGUCCCCUGGGCCUGUACUGACGCUCAUGCACGAAAGCGUGGGGAGCAAACAGG
rnacentral:rRNA from 1 species